rnacentral:rRNA from 1 species
CUUUGGGAGCUUGCUCCCAAAGGUUAGCGGCGGACGGGUGAGUAACACGUGGGCAACCUGCCUAUAAGACUGGGAUAACUUCGGGAAACCGGAGCUAAUACCGGAUAAUUCUUUUCUACUCAUGUAGGAAAGCUGAAAGACGGUUUACGCUGUCACUUAUAGAUGGGCCCGCGGCGCAUUAGCUAGUUGGUGAGGUAACGGCUCACCAAGGCAACGAUGCGUAGCCGACCUGAGAGGGUGAUCGGCCACACUGGGACUGAGACACGGCCCAGACUCCUACGGGAGGCAGCAGUAGGGAAUCUUCCGCAAUGGACGAAAGUCUGACGGAGCAACGCCGCGUGAGUGAUGAAGGUUUUCGGA